rnacentral:rRNA from 1 species
GACGUAGGGGGCGAGCGUUACUCGGAAUUACUGGGCGUAAAGCGUGCGUAGGUGGUGAGUUAAGUCUGUCGUGAAAGCCCCGGGCUCAACCUGGGAAUGGCGAUGGAUACUGGCUCGCUAGAGUGCGGUAGAGGAGAGUGGAAUUCCCGGUGUAGCAGUGAAAUGCGUAGAGAUCGGGAGGAACAUCAGUUGCGAAGGCGGCUCUCUGGACCAGCACUGACACUGAGGCACGAAAGCGUGGGGAGCAAACAGG